ACACUUGUUUUUUUUAGUAUGAAUCGAAACUUGAUAAUGAGCGCACAAAACAUCGAAUCACUGAAGGUAUAUCAACGGAAUAAAAAGUUUGGUAAUGGUAAUGGUGCCGGUAAUGAUGUUAAAUCGAAUUGAUGAAAACUUGAUUUGACAAUAAAAUUUGUGCGAUUUUAUUAGCAAAAAUAAUUAACUUUUAAAUGACAAGGACUUUGUCAAGAAACGGUUGAUGUAAUGUGCAACAAGUGACAAUAUAACAAAAUCCGAAUCAAAUGUAUAAUCAAUGAGUAAUGCUUCGUAUACGUAAAUUAUUACUCAUUAUUUGUUCAAUGAAAUGUCGCGGGUGCUUGUAAAAAAUAAUGUUCAACGCAUUAUAAGUGAGAUGAAGAAAAUAAAUCAGUAAAUGGUCUUGAUGGUGCGAAGUUACAUUGAACAUUAGACCUAAAAUAAAACGAUUUUUUUUUCUACGAAUUAUACCUUCUCUUCAGUUUAGUGUUAUUUACCCCGUCUCGGUAAAAAAACGAUUCAUCUUUCAUCUCAAGUCUUUAAAAAAGGACAUUCCUGUUUAUUGGUUUACAACAUUUUUCUUCUUCUACUCUCGGCUGCAUUUUUACCACCAUAUACACAAAGCAGUUCCUUCUUUUUGAUUCCUACACAGAUUCCCUGUUCCAGCCAACAGUUUGUAACAAUUGUCAACCAAUAUUUUCUCAUAAGUGUGCGAUAUAUGAUCCUUAGGAUUCAACUAUAAUUUCCAAGUAAAAUCAUUUUCGCAACCAAAAAACAAUAAAUUUUUAAAAGUUUCGAACAUACAAAAAUAUUAUUCGACGCACUGGUCGAGCAACGACAGCACACAAAUCCUAAACAGAACUGGUAUUAAGUUUUUUUUUUGAAUUCUUUCUUACAUCCGAACACAGAUUGUUUGCUGCUGAUUGUGUGAGUGCUCUGUACUGUUUCGGUCUCGCGCUAUGCAUGUUAGUGAAAAGACCGUUCAAAUUAUCUAUCGUCAAAACGAUUGAUAACAGAAUUUAUACUAAGUGAACUGUAGAAUAAUGUUCGACAAUAAUUAUUUACAAAAAACAGUUUUCAUAUCACCUAGUCAGCAAACUUGGAAUUUGUUAACAUGCCAUUCAUAAAGACUUUUGUGUGAAUAAUUUUGAAUUUGAAUAGAACUUUUUUUUUAAAUCAAUUUAUUAAUAUUUCGUCGUUGGACGAAAUUCAGUGCUAGAUUGUUAAACAAGGAAGUGUUUAAACCGUUAAUAUUUUAACAAAUAAAACAAGAAAUAAUGAAAUCUGUGACGAAACUCAAGACUAGCAAAAUCCUUACGGUUGCUGGUUUGUUGCUGUGUAUGUGCAUGUCUGGUGCAUCGGCUGCUGUAAAACAUGGAUAUUUAUCAACAAAGCUGGACGAGUACUACAGUACAAUAAAAUGCUUGGCAAGCAUUCUGGACGAGCUUAUGAUACCGGACAUAAAUCCAUUGUUUAUCUGCUGUGGUACAUGGUUAAUAAACGAUUGGUUGGGAGGUAUGGUGCUGGACAACUGCUACGACCAUAACUACCAUCAACUAAACAAUUUGACUGAACCGUUCCUUCACACAAUGGAGGAAACCUGCGGUGACUAUCCAAAGGACUCUUUUUCCUGCAAAAUGGUCUUUGCAACGCCAAUCGCACUGUUAGUUUUUAUUAUUGUACUGAUAUUAUCGUUAAGUGGCUGCUCGAUAUUUAUGUGCAUUCGACUGCGAUAUUACCGACGAUAUUUUGAGUACCAAAAAAGUCAGGCAUUCGAUUCGGCUGGUUCUGAAGAUAUGACCGACGAAACGACUACACCAACGAUGAAAAAAAGAAAACCGCUCGAAAUUUGAAGAGUUAGUUGAAGAAGGAGACUGGAGAGAGUAAGAGAGAAAAGCUGCAUAAUAUGGUUUACAUAUUUUCUUUAGGAUUUUCAACUUUUCAAAAACUCUCUUUAUGCGAACAGUAAACUGCCAUAAUAUUAAUUAUCUAUAGUUAAUGUAAGUUAAACUGUGAUAGUCAUUAUUACAAUUCGUAUGAAUAAAACACCUUUGCUACAACUAAA